CACCGCCUGGGGAGUACGACCGCAAGGUUAAAACUCAAAUGAAUUGACGGGGACCCGCACAAGUAGUGGAGCAUGUGGUUUAAUUCGAAGAUACGCGCAGAACCUUACCAACACUUGACAUGUUCGUCGCGACUCUAAGAGAUUAGAGUUUUCGGUUCGGCCGGACGAAACACAGGUGCUGCAUGGCUGUCGUCAGCUCGUGUCGUGAGAUGUUGGGUUAAGUCCCGCAACGAGCGCAACCCUCACUUUUAGUUGCCAUCAUUUAGUUGGGCACUCUGAAAGAACUGCCAGUGAUAAGCUGGAGGAAGGUGGGGAUGACGUCAAGUCCUCAUGGCCCUUACGUGUUGGGCUACACACGUGCUACAAUGGCAUCUACAAUAGGAAGCAAGAUGGCGACGUCAAGCAAAUCCUAAAAAGAUGCCUCAGUUCGGAUUGUACUCUGCAACUCGAGUACAUGAAGCUGGAAUUACUAGUAAUCGCGGAUCAGCGCGCCGCGGUGAAUACGUUCCCGGGUCUUGUACACACCGCCCGUCACACCAUGGGAGUUGGUUCUACCUUAAGGCAAAGUUUAAAACCUUUGACUACGGUAUAGUCAGCGACUGGGGUGAAGUCGUAACAAGGUAGCCGUAGGGGAACCUGCGGCUGGAUUACCUCCUUUCUAAGGAUGAUUAAGGAUUUUUUCUUAAUCUAAAUAAUUAACAGGUUAAUGUUGACCGUCCUCAUUUCUCUUCUUUAAAUAGUGUUUCUCUUUUCUGCUUAGGGGCCGGUAGCUCAGUUGGUUAGAGCACACCCUUGAUAAGGGUGGGGUCGAAAGUUCGAGUCUUUCUCGGCCCACCAUUUAAUUUUUUAUUGGGGGAUUAGCUCAGCUGGGAGAGCGCCUGAUUUGCAUUCAGGAGGUCAGCGGUUCGAUCCCGCUAUCCUCCACCAAGAAACACUUAGUUAUUUUAUUUGUGAAGAUUUUUUAUUAUUAUCAAUAUCUAUAUCCGAUUGUUCGAAUAGAUGAACAAUCAUGAAUGUUCGAAUAGAUGAACAUUCCAACAAAAUUUGAUUCAACACAGAAUUUUUUUCUG
rnacentral:sRNA from 1 species